rnacentral:lncRNA from 1 species
AUUGUUUAUAAAGCUUAUAUAAGUUAUUUUUUAAAUUUUAACUUUAAAUUUUGCCUCACGUAAAACUCAAUAAAGAUUUUGGCUUCUAUAUCUUGAAGAAAGUCUAAAGUGUUGGAUGAUCAAGUGUUGGAUGACAAAGAGCAUCUAAUAAAAGCAUCUUUUAAAAUGAUGUUUGUUAUUCGCGUGUGUAUCUUUGUUCUUAUAUUAGCAUCUAAUGCACACAAUGCUGAAAAAUAUACAGCACGCAGUUUGAAAAUUCAACAAAGCAGUAGUUCUGAUUUUGGUGAUCUGCAAAAAAGUGUCGAUAAAAAAGAAAAGCACCAAGAAAAAACUCGAAUGAACUUGCUAUUAAAUAAGUUUUUCAAAGAUCCAGUACCAUCUCAAAUUUCCAAACCAACCCAUAAAAAGAAUGAUAAUACUCAAUCAAAAGUGCAAAACAUAAAAAAAAUUGCAAUGAAGUUCUCUCCAUUGAUAAGAAGACCAGGCCGUUUUGUUUAGUUGUUCGGAUUUUUAAAAGAACUUUUUCUAUUUUGCGUGUAAAUAACUAUCUUACUGUUUAAUGUUAUCACUUGUGAUUACUUAUAGCAUAUUUAUUGAUAAUUUUUCACGCAUAUUAAAAAGAUAAAAUGAAACUUUUA